rnacentral:snRNA from 1 species
AUUCUUUCGCAGAGGCGAUAUCAUAACCUGUGAGGUCCAGCUGAGGAGUGAUUAUUGCUGGUUGAAAACAUCCCAAAACCCUGC